rnacentral:rRNA from 1 species
AUUGAACGCUGGCGGCAUGCCUUACACAUGCAAGUCGAACGGUAACAGGUCUUCGGAUGCUGACGAGUGGCGAACGGGUGAGUAAUACAUCGGAACGUGCCCGAUCGUGGGGGAUAACGAAGCGAAAGCUUUGCUAAUACCGCAUACGAUCUACGGAUGAAAGCAGGGGACCGCAAGGCCUUGCGCGCACGGGGCGGCCGAUGGCAGAUUAGGUAGUUGGUGGGAUAAAAGCUUACCAAGCCGACGAUCUGUAGCUGGUCUGAGAGGACGACCAGCCACACUGGGACUGAAACACGGCCCAGACUCCUACGGGAGGCAGCAGUGGGGAAUUUUGGACAAUGGGCGAAAGCCUGAUCCAGCCAUGCCGCGUGCAGGAUGAAGGCCUUCGGGUUGUAAACUGCUUUUGUACGGAACGAAAAGACUCUGGUUAAUACCUGGGGUCCAUGACGGUACCGUAAGAAUAAGCACCGGCUAACUACGUG